UGGUUCGAGAGUCAUUUUUGGAAGGAGAAAUCUCUUAUACAAAAAUAGAGGGUAGCGGUUGCGACAAGGACGGAGACGUAAAGGGAAAGACGAAGGCAAUUCUUCCUAGUCACUGGAAGACAUUUUGUAGUCGAAGUUGUGGGCUGGAUAGGAAAAAGCUAUCUUCCUGAGUUCCACCUUUAAUUCAUUAUUUUCUGUUCGUUGAUUUGAU
rnacentral:lncRNA from 1 species